CAUUUAUAUUAUUUAAAAUAACUGCCAGAGAAAGGUGUCUAAUGGUCUAGUCUACCAACUUCACUAUGCUGAUUUAUGAAAGAAUUGCUGAAACCCAGUGAAUAAUAGCAUUUGCCCUUCUUUCUCAAAAAAGCAGCAUUUGCUUUCUUCUGGCAAGGAAUAAUUAAGCUAAUUUCUCCAUGAACCUUGGAAAAAGUGGCAACGAAUAAUGGAUUUGUCCCUCAAAGAACAUUUCAAGCAAACAUCUUAUCAGCUACAAAUUCAUUUGAGGCAGUUCCAGGUCAGCCACAGGCAAUUUUUCUCAUUAAAAUACUGUUUAAACUGUUGUAUCCAGAUGACACAGGAGACAUAUCAGACAAACAACACCUGCAAGAAGAAUUGGUGAAGUAUUGACUUUUCAUCAAUCAAAAAGUUUACUAAGCAGAUGAAAAUAAUUUGCCUUCACAGUGACAUUUUCCUGACGUCUUGCUAGUACUUAAAGGCAUUGUUUUUUCUUUAACACCCAAACUUUAAUUACCAGAAAAGGUUAGCAUCAAAACAAAGGACAUGUUGGUAAUUUAGAGGCCAUAUCAGAAAAAUAAAUUCAUUUUGGUUUGAAUGAAUUUUUUGUCUUGUCUCCUUCUCCCCCUUUGGCCACAUCCCCCUCCCCCACAUGACCACGCUUUCCUGUGUUCAUGGUCAUUCUGUUAACAAUGUAUAGAUUUGGAGAUUUCUUUCUAGUUUUAUAAGUUUUUCUAAGUUUUAUACGUCUUAUCACUAAGUGCAACUAUUCAGUUUAAAAAAAGAAGGAGUAUUUUGUAGCAGAGAAGUAUGAGUUGAGGACGUAGGAAUCCUGUUUUACAUUUCUUUUGCUAUUUACUCACUGAAAGCCCUUGGGGGAAAAUUAUUUCAUCUCCCUACAUCUCAGCUUCCAUACUGACAAAAAUUUUAUUGUUCUAGAUGACCUCUAGGGUGCAUUCCACUUUUCAAAUCUCCUUGGUUGCUCAUUAUUGAUUUUAAAAUUCUCACAGAAUGAGUCUGAAUAAUUGUUGCAUUUCCCUUAUUGAGGAAGUAUCUUUGAUUAGAGUUCAUUUAGCAUAAACUCCUUCUCCAAGUGGGACAUCCUUACAGCAUCCCAAACCAACAACCCUCUCAUUGCUGCUGGGAUACUUCAGUU
rnacentral:lncRNA from 10 species